GGGGGUGUAGCUCAGAGGCACAGCACCUGCCUAGCAUGCACAAGGUCCUGGGUUUCAAACCUAGUACCACCC
rnacentral:tRNA from 1 species